rnacentral:lncRNA from 1 species
AGUUCUUUUGGUGGAGUUAUACUUGGAUUAGUUCUUGAGGGUCAUAUUAAGCAUUGUAGAUGAGUGUAUCAUGAAUGUAUCAAGAUUGUAGAAUGUAUCGAGAAUGUAUCACUUCUCUUUUUCUUGAGUGACUAUUUACUUGAUUAAGCUUGUUAAUAGCAUUUGCACUUCCAUAUGGCCUUCAUGGUUUUGUAAACAUCAAAAUAACAUAAUGACUCUCAUGUAGUUUGUGUCAUUAAAGAGUGGUGGUCUAUUUGUGGAUUGCCCUUCGACAAUAGAGGUUCCUAAUGGAGCUGCCAUGAUCUUUAACUCUUGAUGGUUAGAUCAAAGAGGGUUUAGUACCGGCUCUAAUACCACUUGUUGCCCAGAUAUGUAGCCCAAGAGGUUAGUGAAUUGGGUUUUAAAAUUUUAUCUAGAAUGCAGCAGAUAAAAUAUAAUUCCAAUUUGAAAGAUAGAAGUGCUUAAACGAUGAAUGAAUAAUGGCAGAGAUUAAAGUGCAACAAUAUAAAGAGAUAGGCA